rnacentral:lncRNA from 1 species
CCGGAAGUCAAGACAUUAGUAUGAUAGAAAGUUCGGAGUCUAAGUUAGAUGCUAUUAUGAAUGCCCUCGCUACGUUAUCAAAAAGAACUGCAUCUGGGAUAGCACAAUCUAAACUACACCAGCCUCAAAUUUCGGCACUUGGAGAAACAACUUUACCUUAGGUUCGACAAGAACCACUAGUUUUACAACAUAAGGAGUCUCGAGUUAGCCUUCCAGAUAAGUUUGAUAGAAAACGUUCCAAGUUUUGAGGAUUCGUCAAUCAAAUCAGGUUGAUAACAGUUUUACAGCCCGAACGAUAUCCAAUGGAGGAGUCACGUGUUGG